rnacentral:rRNA from 4 species
AUACGACUGUCGGCAACGGAUAUCUAGGCUCUCGCAUCGAUGAAGAACGUAGCAAAAUGCGAUACUUGGUGUGAAUUGCAGAAUCCCGUGAAUCAUCGAGUUUUUGAACGCAAGUUGCGCCCGAAGCCACU